AUUUGAUCUGUUGGGUAAUUCCCUUUAUUUCAUGUGCAGCAAAGUAGACACACACAAAUCGAGGUAAGCUUUAUUACAUGGGUUCGAGACAAAGACUCCUCUUCAUCUUUGUUCUCUGCAAUUUUUUCUCUCUUCUUGAUACGACUCCUCUUCAGUUUUGUUCUCUCACCUCGCCGCCAUAAUCAGGCGACUUAUACCACCUCCACCUUCACCCUCAUUUCUCAAUUUCCUUUGUCUCCCUCUGAUUUGUUCGUACAUAAAUUUCCACAAAAAAUCCUAAUUUUUCCUCAUUUUCUUGCGAGAAGCCGCUUCCUGCCAACAUUGACAUCGUUCACCGGCGACAGCAGCAGCACCAUCGCCCUCUCCUUCCUCUCCUGCUUCAUCGGACAGCCGCGGUCAGCCGUGUCACCUCCGCCUCUCUACUUGGUCGACGAGCAACAACAACCAUUGGGCCACCGCUGUCGCCGUCUUCUUGAUUUUCGUCUCAGCUGAAUUUUAAUUUAUACGUUCCAUUUUUACUUGAUUAAAUCAUUCAAUUUUCUCUGCUUGAUUUUUAUUGUGAUUUGCUCUGUGAUUUAGGACUGCGAAACAAGUCUAUUUAGGUGAGCAAAGUGUGUGUGUUUUUUAGGGUAUUCUAUGUAUCUCUUUCGCUUUAAUCUCAUUGGUGUGUAUAUUGUUCUUACUUUUUCUGCAACAAUUGAGAGCAGGUGAAAGAGUAGAACUAAAAAUACAUUAGGAUGAAAAACAGAGAGAACAAGUGAAAGAACUAAUUUUUUUUACCUCCCUCGAUUUUCUUUUUCCGUUCUCUAGAAUACAUAGCAACAAACAAAUGUCUUAGCAUAACGAACCUGAUCAUUUAAUCUAUACAUGACUAAAAAUUAUACAGGUGAGAAAGACGAGACUGAUAAAAAAGGAAAGGGAGAAGGAUGCCUGAACCGAUGCUAAGGAAACAUGUUGUUUUAGUCAUCCAUGGUUGCUGCUGUUGUUGCUGUUGCUAGGAUGCCAUCCAUGGUUGAAAGACAAGCUACUGUUGUGGAAGAGUCUUCUGUCAUCAUAUUUGUUGUUGAUGGUCAGGUAUGGUUUUUUCACUGCAUUCAUUAUGAAGCUUAUUGCUGUGUGCAAGUUCUAGGUUGUUCUCUUUCUUUGACAAAUUUUAGAAGAAACUGAAAUUAUCCUACAGUUUAUUAUGUUGUGAAUUUUAUGGAGUUUGGUAUGUUAUAAUGUUACACCAUAGGUCUUAUUCCUUAUUGGCAGUCUAUAACUAACAAUUAACAAGCAGCUUGACUGUCGCCGAUAUUGAAAUAAGGGAUUGGCUGCGCAAGAACUAUUCCCACAAGUAUAUCGUUCUUUCUGUUAAGAAAUGUGAAUCUCCUAGCAAAGGUUCCUUACAAGCAAGAACUAUUCUCACAAGUAAAUUGAUAUUGCUCAACACUAUCAGAUAGUAUCAAAAAGGCAUAGAGAUUUAUGAAGAGAUAGCACAACAGUCACUGAACAAUAACUAGCUCAAAUAUGGAGUAAAAGAGCACCUUCUUAAUGUUGGUAUUUGCCAGCUAUGCAAGGCUGAUUUUGUUGCAAUCAACAAGGCAUUAAAGCGAUACCAGGUGCUUGAGAUUUUCUUUUCUUCGAAUCUGCAGCUCUACUCUUUGUCUGGUAAUGGUGCUAAACAUAUGCUUCGUUUCUUCAUUUCUAGGAUCUAGAUCCAACAUUUAUGGAUCUCUCUAGCAUUUUUUCUUUCUUUUUGCUUACACCCCAGUAAAUGUCUAGAUAUGUAAAAUUUGGUUGCUUACUUUGUAUGGAAAUGUAAGUUUGCUUCCAUUUCUGCAUCUUUGCAUUUCAGCAUAAUGGUGUGUAUAUUCUUCUUAUUUUUUUUGCAACAGCCGAGAACACGUGAAAGAGCAAAACUUAGAAUACAUAAGGAGGCAGAACACAGAGUACAGGUGGAAGAACUAAUUUUAUUUUACCCCCCUCGAUUUUCUUUUUCCAUUCUCUAGAAUACAUAGCAACAAACAAAUGUCUUAGCAUAACUAACCUGAUCACUUAAUCUAUACAUGACUAAAAAUUAUGCAGGUGAGAGAGAAGUGACUGACAGAAAAGGAAAGGGAGAAGGCAGUCGGGACUGAUGUUAAUGAAACAUGUUGCAACAAAGUAGGAUAUUAUCUCAGAGGUUUAUUCUGUAAAAAAAUAUUGGUUGUAGUUUUGUGCAGGAACAAUAAGUUUGAUUUAAACUUAAUUAUUUUUUUAUGCUAUUUUUCUAUAAGGGUGCUGAUAACCAAUAGUUCUUUAUGUACAUAAUUGUUCUUAGAUUUCUUUGGAGAUUAGCUAAACGGAUGCUGGCAACAUUUGAAUCCAUAGCUGAGAUUGCAAAUGGCGAUAUGACAACACUAACUUUAUUGAA
rnacentral:lncRNA from 1 species